UACGUAGGGGGCUAGCGUUGUCCGGAAUCAUUGGGCGUAAAGAGCGUGUAGGCGGCUCGGUAAGUCCGCUGUGAAAGUCGGGGGCUCAACCCUCGAAUGCCGGGUGGAUACUGUCGAGCUAGAGUGCGGAAGAGGCGAGUGGAAUUCCUGGUGUAGCGGUGAAAUGCGCAGAUAUCAGGAGGAACACCGAUUGCGAAGGCAGCUUCCUGGUCCGAGUACCGACGUUCGAGGCACGAAAGCGUGGGGAG
rnacentral:rRNA from 1 species